rnacentral:rRNA from 1 species
UACGUAGGGGGCGAGCGUUAUCCGGAUUUACUGGGUUUAAAGGGUGUGUAGGCGGGUUUUUAAGUCAGUGGGGAAAUCUCCGAGCUUAACUUGGAAACUGCCAUUGAUACUAUUGAUCUUGAAUUCUGUUGAGGUAGGCGGAAUAAGUCAUGUAGCGGUGAAAUGCAUAGAUAUGACUUAGAACACCAAUUGCGAAGGCAGCUUACUAAACAGAUAUUGACGCUGAGGCACGAAAGCGUGGGGACCAAACAGG